rnacentral:rRNA from 1 species
CCUACGGGAGGCAGCAGUGAGGAAUAUUGGUCAAUGGACGCAAGUCUGAACCAGCCAUGCCGCGUGCAGGAAGACGGCUCUAUGAGUUGUAAACUGCUUUUGUACGAGGGUAAAUCCCGAUACGUGUAUCGGGUUGAAAGUAUCGUACGAAUAAGGAUCGGCUAACUCCGUGCCAGCAGCCGCGGUAAUACGGAGGAUUCAAGCGUUAUCCGGAUUUAUUGGGUUUAAAGGGUGCGUAGGCGGGUCGAUAAGUUAGUGGUGAAAUCCCGGGGGUGAACUCCGGCACUGCAUCUGAUACUGGAGUGAGAGAGUUUAGUUGCGGUAGGCGGAAUGCAUGGGGUAGCGGUGAAAUGCAUAGAGAUCAGACAGAACACCGAUUGCGAAGGCAGCUUACCAAACUACGACUGACGUUGAGGCACGAAAGCGUGGGGAGCAAACAGGAUUAGAUACCCGAGUAGUC